GACGAACGCUGGCGGCGUGCCUAAUACAUGCAAGUCGAGCGGACCAAAGGGAGCUUGCUCCUGGAGGUUAGCGGCGAACGGGUGAGUAACACGUGGGCAACCUGCCUGUAAGACUGGGAUAACAUCGAGAAAUCGGUGCUAAUACCGGAUAAUAAAAAGAACUGCAUGGUUCUUUUUUGAAAGAUGGUUUCGGCUAUCACUUACAGAUGGGCCCGCGGCGCAUUAGCUAGUUGGUGAGGUAACGGCUCACCAAGGCGACGAUGCGUAGCCGACCUGAGAGGGUGAUCGGCCACACUGGGACUGAGACACGGCCCAGACUCCUACGGGAGGCAGCAGUAGGGAAUCUUCCGCAAUGGACGAAAGUCUGACGGAGCAACGCCGCGUGAGUGAUGAAGGUUUUCGGAUCGUAAAAACUCUGUUGUUAGGGAAGAACAAGUGCCGUUCGAAAGGGCGGCACCUUGACGGUACCUAACGAGAAAGCCACGGCUAACUACGUGCCAGCAGCCGCGGUAA
rnacentral:rRNA from 1 species